UGUCGAGCCUGCGACUUUUGUCGCAGAAAGCUCGACAUAGGGAUAGUGAUCCGGCGGCGGCGGCAGCGUUAGCUAACUUCUUAAAAGCUUUAUAUUUUAGAGGGUGGAAGACCUGGAUGCUUCAUACUUUGUAUAAGGAUGCCUCAUGUUACGAAGUUUCCGUCAGUCACAUGUCCAAUGUCCUUGACCUCAUUUUCAUGGUUCAGUGACUACUUGAAAAAAAAGUUAAGAUUUUUUGUAAUGUUAAAUUCUCUCUUAUUAUAAGUAAUAGGAUAACUAUAUUUGGUAUGUGCGUACCUUGCAAGGUCCUCAUGCCCGUCAGACAGUUUUCACUUGACCUCGACCUCAUUUCAUGGAUCAGUGAACAAGGUUAAGUUUUGGUGGUCAAGUCCAUAUCUCAGAUACUAUAAGCAAUAGGUCUAGUAUAUUCGGUGUAUGGAAGGACUGUAAGGUGUACAUGUCCAACUGGCAGGUGUCAUCUGACCUUGACCUCAUUUUCAUGGUUCAGUGGUUAUAGUUAAGUUUUUGUGUUUUGGUCUGUUUUUCUUAUACUGUAUGCAAUAGGUCUACAAUAUUUGGUGUAUGGAAUGAUUGUAAGGUGUACAUGUCUAGCUGGCAGGUGUCAUCUGACCUUGACCUCAUUUUCAUGGUUCAGUGGUCAAAGUUAAGUUUUUGAGUUUUGGUCUGUUUUUCUUAUACUGCAUGCAAUAGGUCUACUAUAUUUGGUGUAUGGAAUGAUUGUAAGGUGUACAUGUCUAGCUGGCAGGUGUCAUCUGACCUUGACCUCAUUUUCAUGGUUCAGUGGUCAAAGUUAAGUUUUUGAGAUUUGAUCUUUUUUUCUAAUACUAUAUGCAAUAGUUCAACUACAUUUGGUGUAUGGAAAUAUUUUAUGAUCUAUAUGUCAGUCACGCAGGUUUUAUUUGACCUUGACCUCAAUUUCAAGGUUCAUUGCUCAGUGUUAAGUUUUUGUGUUUUGGUCUGUUUUUCUUAAACUAUAAGCAAUAGGUCAACCAUAUUUGUUGUAUGGAAGAAUUGUUAGCUGUACAUGCCUGCCUAGCAUGGUUCAUCUGACCUUGACCUCAUUUUCAUGGUUCAUUGGUCAAUGUUUAGUUUACUUGGUUAAUGUUAAGUUUAUGUGACAGUUGUAAUAAAGCUUUAUAUUUAGGACUAUCAACAUAAUAUCAAUGAUUAGUAAAGAAGGCGAGACAUUUCAGCGUGUGCACUCUUG